rnacentral:rRNA from 1 species
GAUGAACGCUGGCGGCGUGCCUAAUACAUGCAAGUCGAGCGAACGGACGAGAAGCUUGCUUCUCUGAUGUUAGCGGCGGACGGGUGAGUAACACGUGGAUAACCUACCUAUAAGACUGGGAUAACUUCGGGAAACCGGAGCUAAUACCGGAUGAUAUUUUGAACCGCAUGGUUCAAAAGUGAAAGACGGUCUUGCUGUCACUUAUAGAUGGAUCUGCGCUGCAUUAGCUAGUUGGUAAGGUAACGGCUUACCAAGGCAACGAUGCAUAGCCGACCUGAGAGGGUGAUCGGCCACACUGGAACUGAGACACGGUCCAGACUCCUACGGGAGGCAGCAGUAGGGAAUCUUCCGCAAUGGGCGAAAGCCUGACGGAGCAACGCCGCGUGAGUGAUGAAGGUCUUCGGAUCGUAAAACUCUGUUAUUAGGGAAGAACAUAUGUGUAAGUAACUGUGCACAGCUUGACGGUACCUAAUCAGAAAGCCACGGCUAACUACGUG